CUACUGUUUCUGUCGUUGUUGAAUCCCUCAAUGGAUUCGGGCUGAUUGUAAUGCAUUUGGGGAGCUCAGAUAUGGCUGGAAGUGCACUGGGAACGGUCCUCUCUCUCCUGCUCUUCGCCUCUAUUAUACAAGGGCUCCGGGAUUUUCAGGUGUUCCAUAUUGAAAAGAUGGAGGCAGUAGUGGGCCAGACUGUUACCUUACCCUGUAUUGUAAAAAACAGUACCAAUCUCCAGAUUGUCAGUAUUGAAUGGAGUAAGAACAAAAUUAACAACGCAAAGCUGGCUGUGUUCAGCAAAGGGUUUGGAACCCAUCUAUUUUGGCCUAAUGUCACCAUCCAGAGCUUGUCAAUGGGCUCCUAUCUACACCUUUCUAAUGUGGCGAAAUGGGACAGUGGCAUCUAUAUUUGUGACCUCACAAGUUUUCCUCGGGGCUCCAUCAGGAGCGAAACAGAGCUAAAGAUCAAAGAUGCCGAUGUGGAAAUAAUGUGUGAUGUAAACAGCACUGUUGAGGUCCAUACUGGAGAAAAUGUGACCAUUCACUGCAUAUCAUUCCCUAAUACAGAGUACAGGUGGACAAAGAAUGAGACACUGGUGUCAGAGAAAGCAUCUCUGGAGCUCUGGUGGGUGACGGAUGCUCACACAGGGGUUUAUGCACUGACUGUCACCACAGGAUACAAAAGUCUGCAUAAAGAGUUUACCGUCACAGUGCUAACAGCAACCACAAGCUUAAGGACAGAUCUCGUGACAGUGUUGCCUCAGUCCAAUGCAACUGUGCAGGGUUUGAUCAGAUCAACAGGACGUGGCCAUACUACAUCACCGACCACUGGGCUUUCAACAACUGAUACCAAUGUAACGUGGACCAUGAGUACGGGCAUUGAUGUAACAGAAGAUCCAAAUCCUAGCAAAUCUACAAUCACAGCUGCACAGCGUCUUACACACACCAGCGUCACAUCACCCCCUGCCUCAUACACUGACCUCUAUCACUCAAACAACACCAGUGAUCUUGAGAUAAACCCGACUCACAGUUUAAACACAUCCACUUUUUCUGACCAAUCAGUGACCAGCAACCUAUCCACAACAUUGAGUUAUAACAGUAAGGUGUUUAGAUCAACACAGGAGAUAAGGAAUCAGUCCAUGGGAACCAUCGUGGAAAACUCUGACAGUCCUGGUGCAACCCAAACCCUGACUACUGGGACUGAGAAUAAAGUGAGGCGAGCAGCCGCAGUGCCGGAAAGUAAACAGUAAAAACUGUAAGUACCUGAAAACAGAGCACAAUGCUCAAACAGACCUCUUGAAAGCUACAGAUGCAUAUUAGCCACAGCUUCGUUACCUUCACCAUCUGCAUUUUCAUCAUAUGCGGAGGCCUGACAGAUUCCAGUUUUUCUAAGCCUCAGGCUAUAGAUUGCCUUUUUCAUGGUACAAAUCUCUGUCAACUUCUGGGGUCGGAGUCUGACAAGCUGAGGGGGAGGAACGGAGACACACUUUUCUGCCUCAAGGCAAAAAGUUUCACAUCAUAGCUUUACAUUUAUUAUCAAUAUGUGUUGGAGUCUGCUGGGUUUUACCAGAGCAAGCUGAUCAAUAUCUUAGAAACACACAUUUAGCUGUUGGUGUCCUCCAAAAUGACACUUUCCCCCUCUCUGAAUCUGCUUCUUAGAUACUGAUGGUGUACGGAGUCAUCUGUGGUUGGUGUUAAUCAUCGCUCCAAUGCUGGUAUUGAUCGCUGUGGCUGGUAUUCUCUGCAGGAGAAAAAUUAUAAAGCAGAGGAUGGAUCUACCACCUCCAUUUAAAC